AGGAUAUCUUACCAUGGUUUUAAAAAUCGGCGUAAUGGUUGUUAGUCAGAGGUUUUUUUCUUUGAUUUUGGCUUACCGUUACCAUUACCGUUACCGUUACCACCGUUAUUUAACGGAAUUUUAAAUUUGUAACCCAAAAGGCCGUUACGGCCGUUAAGUAACAGUCAUACCAGCUGUUACUUUUUCAUCUAAGAAUUAUUGGCUUUUUUUUACCUCUUUCAUGUGAAA
rnacentral:misc_RNA from 1 species